rfam:Bacillus smithii strain DSM 4216, complete genome.
AAGAACAAGCAGAAGCAAGCCCGCUUCUCACCUGAACUGACGCCUAUAAGCUGUUGGCAGGUUAAACGGAGUCAAUCGAAAUCAUAUGGCUUGAUCCAUUUUUAUGCGGGUUUUCUGUAUACCCGCAUUUUUUUAUGCUU